UACAGGGGGUGCAAACGUUGCUCGGAAUCAUUGGGCGUAAAGCGCACGUAGGCGGCUCGUUAUGUCGGAUGUGAAAGCCCUUGGCUUAACCGAGGAAGUGCAUCCGAAACUGGCGAGCUAGAGUACGAAAGAGGAUCGCGGAAUUCCCGGUGUAGAGGUGAAAUUCGUAGAUAUCGGGAGGAACACCGGUGGCGAAGGCGGCGAUCUGGGUCGAUACUGACGCUGAGGUGCGAAAGCGUGGGGAGCAAACAGG
rnacentral:rRNA from 1 species